UACGUAGGGUGCAAGCGUUAAUCGGAAUUACUGGGCGUAAAGCGUGCGCAGGCGGUUAUGCAAGACAGAUGUGAAAUCCCCGGGCUCAACCUGGGAACUGCAUUUGUGACUGCAUGGCUAGAGUACGGUAGAGGGGGAUGGAAUUCCGCGUGUAGCAGUGAAAUGCGUAGAUAUGCGGAGGAACACCGAUGGCGAAGGCAAUCCCCUGGACCGGCACUGACGCUGAGGAGCGAAAGCCAGGGGAGCAAACGGG
rnacentral:rRNA from 1 species